GGGGAUGUAGCUCAGUGGUAGAGCGCAUGCUUAGCAUGUAUGAGGCCCUGGGUUCACUUCAAUCCCCAGCAUCUCCA